CUGGUAAUUCAGAAACAAUAGGCAGGGAGGCCAUUGAUAAUAACAUAUGCAGUCUGCUGGAGACAGAGAGAGGCAGAGAAGGCAGGAAAACACUGGUGAGCGUAUAUGAGAAUGGGGAGAGAAGAAGAGAUGAUAGGAGGAGUGAUAUGAACAACGGGGAGAACAGAGGUAUAGCGAGUGAGUGGCUCUGGACAACAGCAGACAGUGUCUCAGUCAGGAGUUGAGAGAACUAAAAUAUGAUUGGAUGAUAUGUAGUGUAGAGCAGACAGAGCUUGGGGAAGACAGUGUGUGACUUCAUUAAAGGGGUCAGGGCAUAACAGAAGGACAGGCUUACAGAUUCGUGAGCUGGUGGUUGGUCAGAAGCUGCUGGCAGUGUUAUUUUCUCUCCCCUCUCUCUCUUUGCCAUUUCUCUCUCCAGCUAAAGUUUAGGUCAGAGUGAGCUCUAUGGCUGAGUGUAUUCUGUCAGAGCAGAGACACAGGGCUGAAGAUAGAGACAUAGAGUUGAUCACGUGUUACUGUUUCUUCCCUGCUUUGGAAAGUUAAGAGAAUCACUCAAUAUAAAAAGCUUCAGCCCUGACCGAUGGGAUUCCUCUGAAUGACGGGAUACUUCUGAAUGACGGGAUACUUCUGAAUGAUGGGAUACUUCUGAAUGACGGGAUACUUCUGAAUGACGGGAUACUUCUGAAUGACGGGAUACGUCUGAAUGAAUGGAUACUUCUGAAUGACGGGAUACUUCUGAAUGACGGGAUACUUCUGAAUGACGGGACACUUCUGAAUGACGGGAUACUUCUGAAUGACGGGAUACUUCUGAAUGACGGGAUACUUCUGAAUGACGGAAUACUUCUGAAUGAUGGGAUACUUCUGAAUGAUGGGAUACUUCUGAAUGAUGGGAUACUUCUGAAUGACGGGAUACUUCCCUCACUGAGAAUAUCAUGUGGAACUAAAUCUGAAAAAUAUAUUUGGAUUGAAAUGGGAGCGGAGCAAUGGGAGCAGAGCAUUCAGAGUCGGCAGAUGCUAUGAUGACAUGGAUGGGAGAAAGGAGUUUAAUGACGAGCCUUCGGCUGGUGGUGGGGAGAUGGAUGGCCGUCGGCAACUGUCGCUGUUACACAGCAAGUGAGGGAACAAGGGUAAGUUGACAUAUAAAUACAUCACAAGAUUUAAGCCCAUUGGGAGAA
rnacentral:lncRNA from 1 species